AGAUGUGAAAUAGCUGUUUGGUGGAGGUGCCAGGAUUUAUGAAUUAAGCUAUCUGAUGCUGACGGUGGUUUCACGUCGUUGGAAGUUUGUGGGCCUCGUGGAGUCAAGUCGUGGUAGUACCUGGUCUGGUAGAUUUUAUACGAUGUGUGUAUCGACCCAAGUUGGUUCAUCGUAAGGUGUCUGGUAGAAUUACUAGAAGUAGCGGAUCUACUUUUAUUUGCUGUCCUAGCUUGCCAUCAACUUAUGCCAACGACACAAGAUUUGUUCAUCGCAUGAAGCAAGGAAUUGAGACGGCCAUCCACUUCAUAUUGUUAACUGGAUGGUGUCGCACUAUGCUUUAUGAAAGCAACCUAAAUAAAUUGUUGUAAAUAACCCUAAGGAUUUUCUUUACCUUCAACUAUCUUUAAACCUUUCUUCUUGCUUCACUUGAUGCUUUUGGACUUCAUGCUGCCAUUGACCAGAAUGUAAACCGUUAUAUUUCUGAAUGCGCUAUGUAUGAGAUCUCUGAUGCUACUAAUUAUUGGACUGCUUCGGGUCAUCUAUUUCCUUGUGCAGCAAGGAUUCUGGAUCGGGCGCAGGUCGUCGCCAUAAGAGAGCCUGGCUGGUGUGGUCUUCAUGCUUGGUGUGGAGAAGCAGGGGAGGAUGAGUAGGACGGGCAUGGGGAAGGAGCAGCCAGGCCGGAGCUCCGGCGUUGCUCACGUCAUGGUCGAAUGGAGCCGGCCAUCACUAUGGGCUGCUGCUCGCCGGUCGUCGUUCCCCAAUCUCAGUUGCUCAUCUUUGGCUUCACCAUCUUCCUCCCCUGAUCAUGCAUCUAUUUUAGAUCAUAUAAUUAUGCUAUAUCAUAUAUGUUGUUUAGUUCAGACUUGUGCAUGUGCAUGCAUUGGCAUUGAUUUAGACAGAGAUAUUGCAUGAUUUGUACAUAAAAGGAGUACGGAUGAUCUAAGAAUAAAUGUUUGAAUAAAGUUAGUAGUGAGAUUCAGG